GAACGCUGGCGGCAGGCCUAACACAUGCAAGUCGAACGCCCGUAGCAAUACGGGAGUGGCAGACGGGUGAGUAACGCGUGGGAACGUGCCCUUCGGUUCGGAAUAACUCAGGGAAACUUGAGCUAAUACCGGAUACGUCCGUAAGGAGAAAGAUUUAUCGCCGAAGGAUCGGCCCGCGUCGGAUUAGCUAGUUGGUGAGGUAAUGGCUCACCAAGGCGACGAUCCGUAGCUGGUCUGAGAGGAUGAUCAGCCACACUGGGACUGAGACACGGCCCAGACUCCUACGGGAGGCAGCAGUGGGGAAUCUUGCGCAAUGGGCGAAAGCCUGACGCAGCCAUGCCGCGUGAAUGAUGAAGGUCUUAGGAUUGUAAAAUUCUUUUAGCAGGGACGAUAAUGACGGUACCUGCAGAAAAAGCCCCGGCUAACUUCGUGCCAGCAGCCGCGGUAAUACGAAGGGGGCUAGCGUUGCUCGGAAUUACUG
rnacentral:rRNA from 1 species